rnacentral:siRNA from 1 species
UACUCAUAUGUAGCCUAUGAAUA